AGUGAAUGCUGGCGGUAGGCCUAACACAUGCAAGUCGAACGGCAGCACAGUAAGAGCUUGCUCUUACGGGUGGCGAGUGGCGGACGGGUGAGGAAUACAUCGGAAUCUACUUUUUCGUGGGGGAUAACGUAGGGAAACUUACGCUAAUACCGCAUACGACCUACGGGUGAAAGCAGGGGAUCUUCAGACCUUGCGCGAUUGAAUGAGCCGAUGUCGGAUUAGCUAGUUGGCGGGGUAAAGGCCCACCAAGGCGACGAUCCGUAGCUGGUCUGAGAGGAUGAUCAGCCACACUGGAACUGAGACACGGUCCAGACUCCUACGGGAGGCAGCAGUGGGGAAUAUUGGACAAUGGGCGCAAGCCUGAUCCAGCCAUACCGCGUGGGUGAAGAAGGCCUUCGGGUUGUAAAGCCCUUUUGUUGGGAAAGAAAAGCAGCAGGUUAAUACCCCGCUGUUCUGACGGUACCCAAAGAAUAAGCACCGGCUAACUUCGUG
rnacentral:rRNA from 1 species